CGUAGGAUGCAAGCGUUGUCCGGAUUUAUUGGGCGUAAAGAGUUCGUAGGUGGUUCGUUAAGUCUGGUGUAAAAGACUGGGGCUCAACCCUGGGAUCGCACUGGAUACUGGCGGGCUGGAGUGUGGUAGAGGCAAGUGGAAUUCCCAGUGUAGCGGUGAAAUGCGUAGAUAUUGGGAAGAACACCGGUGGCGCAAGCGACUUGCUGGGCCAUAACUGACACUGAGGAACGAAAGCUAGGGGAGCGAAUGGGAUUAGAUACCCCAGUAGUCCUAGCUGUAAACGAUGGAUACUAGACGUAUCGGGUAUCGACCCCUGAUGUGUCGCAGCAAACGCGAUAAGUAUCCCGCCUGAGUAGUACGGCCGCAAGGUUG
rnacentral:rRNA from 1 species